rnacentral:lncRNA from 1 species
UAAGUGGAAGAAAAUGAAAUAACUCAUACAACACUGUCCGAUGUUAGGGGAGGCAUGAGCGCUCACAAACAUGUUUAACCCCAACACAUUCUUUAUUUGCCUGUCCCAAGUCAGGAGCCUGUAGUUCAGUGGUUGUCGUUUGUUUAUGUGUUACAUUAUUAACACCACCACACUCUUUAUAUGCCUGUCCCAAGUCAGGAGCCUGUAGUUCAGUGGUUGUCGUUUGUUUAUGUGUUACAUUAUUAACCCCGCCACACUCUUUA